rnacentral:lncRNA from 1 species
AACCUUAUCAAGAAAAAAAAUAUAAAAAUAAAAUAGAUGUAUUUCGGUGGUUUUGAAACACCAAGAGAUAAGUAUCUCAGUUAAGAAGUGGUCAUAGGCUUGAAUUCAAACUCAUCAUAAGAUAGCCUCUAUAAGAGGCAUGACACGAAGAAAAAAACGGGGGACGGAAAGGAAGGCAGAGAAGAGAACGGUGGGAGGAGAGAAAAAGAAAAAGGAAGGCAGAGAAGAGCCAUUUCAAGGUAAAAAUACUAGUUUCAUGGCACAAUUUUCUGAUCUUUGCUCAAGAUUUCAGGUUCUGUUCAACUCAAGAGUUCCUGCCCAUGAUGAUUUCUAUCAUCAUAAAAAGGGUCAGUAAUCUCUCCAAGGAUCAAACACCUCCAGGACAUCCAGCUAUGGAUUGACAGUCAAGAUGAUUGUAGUCAUCAUGAGGUCAAGUCCUGAUAUGCUCCGAGGUGCAGCUCCGCUCUGACGCUUCCAGGAUGUGCUCAACAUCCAACUCACAAGCACUCUGUAAGGAUGGCUUAUCAUGAUGGGCUAACCAUCACAAAACCAAAUCUGGUGGCUUUGCAAGGAAAGCACGAACUGAGGUUUUGACAUGGGUUGUGCCGCAGAGAGAUAGCAGACAGAGAAAAGGAAGAAAAAGUUAACGAAGGCAUUCACUCAAAUACCCAGUCAUGGUACCGACUGCCUUUUGUCCUCCAAUGACAACAAGACAAGUUAAUUGUCUUUUAAAUGAAAGCUGCAUACAUAUCUGCAGUGGGAAAAAAUUUUAUCUGCUGUUUGCACAUUAACAGAAAAAGCCUGCGAAAGUGAACUCACCAUGUGCAAAGCAAGAGGUUUCUUUUUGUGCUCUUUGUAUGUAGCUGGCGAUGAGCAAGGAGAAACAAAGUGGAACUCCACUUCCUGCCAAUUAUCUCUUUGGUUAUUAACCUUGGGAUGUUACAGCAAAAGACAACAAGGGGCUUUGGUUCUUUUGGCUCCACGUCACUUGCAAAGGAAAAUCCUAAAGUCACCCAAUUGACAAGAAUGUCUUUUGUUGCUGUUGCUUUUGCUGCCUAUGCAAAAGCUAUGUUAGUUCAAUGGAAAACAUAAAUGAAUAAAGCCUGCGAAGGUGAGCCCCUCCACGUGAAAGCUAAAGAAUAAAAUCAGCCAUGCUGAAAAAGCAAAACAAAAUGAAGAGUUAAGUGUGGUGGUGAACCCACCACUUGCGAAUUCAAAGGAAGAGGACUUCUUCCUCUUUGAGUUGCAGCAGAGUAAAAAAAAAAAAAAAGAAGUCUUGGACUUCACGGACCUGCAUGUCCAAAGUGAAUCCAAGAUUAUGAAAAAGGGAUGGGCUGCAACUCUACAUACAGCAAAACAAGGAAUUUGAAUUAUGAGUCCAAAUUCUAUUGCAUGAAGCUUAUGAUAAAAAAAAAUGGUGUUGCUGUGGGGCUGGCGCAGUACAACACGUUUCUCAAGACCAAUUCAAGAUGGCUGGGUCUCUCUACGAUGCCUUCAAGCAUCCAAAUGCCAAGCAAGAUUGUCAUGAUGAUUCCAAUCAUCAUGUGGCUAUGCUGCUCAAAUGCUCCCAUCCCAGGAUACCUUUAGCAAUACAUGGCAACAACAACGAAAGGACAAUAAAAUGUGGUUGAGCAAAUUGGUUUUCAUUGAUAAUCUGAGUAAGUAAACUUGCUGAAGAUACUAGUGGCUGCACAUGCAAGAUUUUAGUGACGCAUAAAGCAUAAAAGCUAAAGGAAAAACAGAAGUGCCUCACGCUUUGCUUACAAGUCCACUUAAAAAGGACCAAUGAUUUGCUCCAAGUUUUAUCCUCAACUGUCAUUGUGCAAGUCCUACUUGGACCAAGACUCAUGAAGUCUUUCAAGUCCCUCACAUCACUUUUGGUGACUGCAACAAAUGAAAACAAAGUGUCAGCAAAGGUUCACAAGAACUAAAUCAAUUGACGGUCAAGAAGGCUCAAUAAAAUGCUUACGUCAUUCGGGUCUAUCUGCCUCAAUCCUCCAAUGCGAGAUGGCUACCAAACAUGCCCACAAAAUCUCAACAAGAAAUAUGGGAAUCAACCACUGUGGCAAAGAAGCUAUUCAAAAAGGAGUGCCAAGCGACUCAACCAUACUGUGUCCACGACUUCAUUCCAAACAAAUGAUUGGUCGUGCUACGAGCAUUGAGCUCACUCUCAAAAGAUACCAAAGGAGCAUCAAUAUGGAUUAACAGGCUUGUCAAUCAAAAAAGCCCAUUAAUCUCAAAUCCUCCAAAUCAUGCAUGGAUACAAAUGCAAAUGUCAAUUGUAGAGAAUUAAUGGGUUCAUCAAAAUUGCUCAUUAUUAUUCUUGGACAUUGACAAAAAGAAAAAUGGUAUAAAACCAUCCAAUUUUCUCCAUGGGUCAUCUACCCAUGCAAAUUCCAAAUGAGAUUAAAUUCAAAUAUCUCAAACACAAAUUCUUAAUUAGUGGGCUACACUUACCCGUUAAUUUCCAAUUUUUUCCAUAGGUCAUCUACCUAUGAAAAUCUCCAAAUUGUCCCAAAGACACAAAUUCUCAAUUAGUGGGCCACAGUUACCCAUUAACUUCCAAAUUUGGAACUACGUCGGUUUGAUCCCGUCAAGGGUACGUAGGCAGUCUAACAUCCCAAUAGACACAACCGCAAUCAAGUAUAAAUCUCUAGUUUAUCUUAACCAGAUUUUGCCAAAGCACUUUCCCAAGUGCAAUUGUCAAUUUGUUUAGGGAAAAUUAAUGGGAUAAUCAAAAUUACUCAUUAUUUUUCUUGGACAUUGACAAUCAGAAAAGUGGUACAAAACCAUUCAAUUUUUCAUGGGUCAUCUACCCAUACAAAUUUCAAUGAGAUUAAAUUCAAAUCUCUCAAAUUCAAGUUCUCAAUUAGUGGGCUACACUUACCCAUUAAUUUCCAAUGUUUCCCAUGGGUCAUCUACCCAUGCAAAUUUCAUUGAGAUUAAUUCUAAAUCUCUCAAAUACAAAUUCUUAAUUAGUGGGCCACAUUUAUCCAUUAAUUUCCAAUUUUUCCCAUAGGUCAUCUACCUAUGGAAAUCCCCAAACGCAAUUGUCAAUGUUUAGGAAAAGUUAAUGGGAUAAUUAAAAUUACUCAUUAUUUUUCUUGGACAUGGACAAGAACGAAAGUGGUACAAAACCAUCCAAUUUUCCAUGGGUCAUCUACCCAUGAAAAUUCAAAUGAGAUUAAAUUCAAAUUUCUCAAACACAAAUUCUCAAUUAGUGGGCCACACUUACCCAUUAAUUCCCAAAUUCCGAACUACGUUGGUUUGAUCCCUUUGAAAGGGUACGUAGGCAAUCUAGAGAUUCAGUCUAGAUGCAACCAUCCCAAAUGCAAUCCCAUAUCGAAUCCCUGGUUUAUUCAGCUAAAUUCACUCAAUACAAUUCAAAUCAAAUUUCCCUCGCAAUGAGUCAUUUAUUCAUUGCGAUUCUUUGAACUACGAGUGGCUUGAUUCCCGCAAGGGAUACGUAGGCAUCCUGAGGUUGGACUUGGGAGCAGUUGCAAAAUCAAACACACACGUUCUGUUUCUUUAUGAUGGAAUCAAAGGGUGUUUCCUUGAAGCAAGGGAUUGUAAUUAAGAGACUUGCGUCUCGAAUGGGUCGAACCUAAAAUAAUAAAACCCCGUUAUUUAAUUAGUGGUGGUGAAAUUAUAUUAGGAGGAUCACAUUUUCCUUCAACAUAAUUUUUGGCACGCCCGGUGGGAUCCAUUUACCUUUUCAUCUCCAAUCAUAAAGUGACUAAUGUUUUUAUUUUUGUGUAUGCCACAGGUUAACAAAACCAUAUUCGAUGGCACCACAAGUUACAAUUUUCUUCCACAAGAUCGAAGCUACCUGGAAUGCGUGCACCAAACGAGUGGGGUUCAAAAAGACUUUCGUUGUUGGUGAGAGCCUCAUCAAGUGCGCCGUUCCAAAGCCCAUUCAGAGGGUCAAGCCUCAGGUCACUCCUAAGGUUGUCAAGACCCAAUUGAAGAAAGCACCUUCCAAGAACGCUCUCCGAAAUGCAAGAAAGAGGGCUGCGCGUGCUUUAAGAAAGAAAGAAGCAAAGAGGAAGUCUAUUGAGGCAGUUUUGGCCGAGCUUUCGGGGACAAGCCCAUUUGUGACUGAAGGCAAGAACACCUCGAGCACCCUGGCCGUGCCGACUUCCAAGAGGACAAAUGCUACCCAAUUGGUCCAAAUCAUGAUUGGAUCAAUCCCGGUCGACCUAUAUCCUACAGAUUCUGUUCUGACGACUUCCACCAAUGAAACUAGUGAGGAAGGUCAAAAGGACGACUCUGUGGAGCACGCUGAGGUCCAAGGGGCCGAACCUCCGUCAAGUCCAAAAACCCACGCUGUGGAAUCCACAUCACAAGAGGUUUACCCGUGCUCUUCUAAGGGUAAAAACAAAGCCGUCAUCAUGGAGAAGAAGGUGGUGAAUAUACCUCAUCCACAAAGAAGGCGUAUGCAAAAGGUGACGACAACUGAUGCUUCAAGGGAUCAAAAUCCCGUAUCACAAGGGGGAGUCCCGAAAUCUCAAGAGCUGUCAAGGUCCUACAUGGGUCCAUUGACUCGUUCCAAAUCCCGAGACAUGAUGGGGAUGACUAUUCCCGAGUUAUCUGCUCCAAACUCAACCCGUUUGGACGAUUAUUUGCAAUGGAAUCCUCUUUAUGAUGAUCCCGUAUCUCAAGAUCAAGAGAAUGAUUGUGUAGUAUCCCAAGGGGCCAAACUUCAUGACGAGGUGGAAAGCAUGCAAGUCAUGAUGACUGGUACUUCUAAUACUGAGGACCAGUUGCCCUUAAUCCAAGAGAUGAUGCAAGACUUGCGAAGGGAAAUGCAGCAGAAGUUAGCAGAGAAAGACGCGGAAAUAGCGUUACUAUCAGCUAAGUUAAAAGGGAAAGCCGUCAUAGGAGAGCAAGACAGGGGCAAAACAAAUGAAUCAAUGACCCAUGAACAACAAACAAAAGAGGAAAAAGCAGAGAGCUCUACAAGCACAAUUUCCCCAAACGACAUGAAGGCAUUAAUUGCUGAGGGGAUUCGUGAGUUCCAAUUGUCCAUAGCGCUUCCUGUUCAAGGGUAUCGAAAACCCUUUCCUUCUCACUAUGACGCCAUACCAUUCCCGAAGGGUUAUCAACGGCCCAUAUUUGAUAAAUUUGAUGGCAUAAAUAGCUCACCCCAUGAACAUCUGGCAUAUUUUUACUCAGCAUGUGGCGAGACAUCUCAGUCAGAUGCUCUCCUGGUGCGUCAAUUUGUCCAAUCCCUAAAAGGAUCAGCUUUCACUUGGUAUACACAGCUACCGCCAGGCUCUAUCUUGACGUGGGACGACAUGCAAAAAGCAUUUUUGGCACAAUUUGUCAGUUCUAAAAAGAAGGUCUCGAUCAUGGACCUAGCUCAAACUGCCCAAAAGCCAGGGGAAAGUGCUAAUGACUUUAUUAUGAGAUGGAGGAGUCUCAAUCUUCAAUGCCCCGAGAAAAUUACUGAGCUAUCAGCAGUGCAAAUGUGCUACAAUAACCUCAUGCCAGACAUUGCGACUUUUGUCGCCACUGCUGAACCCCAAUCAUUUGACGCUUUGGUGUCAAAGGCGAGCAAUGUUGAAAGACAAAUUGCUCGCCAAAAGUCCGCGUCCCAAAAAAUUCAAUUUGGGGAAAAGAAAAAUGACAAGAAGUCCAUGAAAGGAGAGUCGUUGGCCACUUUCGUCAAAACUGAAAAGAAAAAUGACAAAGGCCAAAACAAAGACCCACCUAAAAGGCUCACUCUUAAAGAACGCAAAGAGGUCAAAUAUUCUUUUGAUGAUGAUGAUGUAGAAGCAAUCUUUGACCAACUUCUGGCCUCCAAUGCUAUUGCUCUGCCAGAAUCAAAACGUCCUGCUGAGGCCAACAAGAUAAAUAACCCUAGGUAUUGUCGAUAUCAUCGCCUUGUCAGUCAUACGCUCAAGGAUUGUUAUAUCCUGAAGGACAAAAUCCAAGAGCUCCUCAACAAUGGCGGCUUGGAGAUAGACUCCUCUUCCCGACAUCAUUCAGCUACGGCAAAUAUGAUAGAAGAAAAGCUCACACCCAUCACCGCAUUACUAGAUGGAGCGAAAAUUGCAGGUAUUAAUACCGACCAUCGGGGUACAAUCGUACAUGCUUGUCCGAAGGCACCAUGGUCUAAUGAUCUUCAAAUUCCUACUCUUCAUGAGCUUGUGGCUGCACCCAGUCUAGAAAUGUGGGAAGACUCUUCAACCGACGAAUUUGCUGAGGGGUGGACGACAUUUGUUAAAAGGGCCAAGCACAUGGCUAAAUAUCUCCCACCCAAUCACAGAUUUACGACUCGUCCGGGUGUCAAGAUUCGAGGCAUGCCACCCUUGAAAAAUAAGAGGAGGAAGAAGAAAGUGCAAAAGAAAGUUCAAAUCACCCAAGAAGAUGAAUAUGAGCAACCCGCAAGGGUCCCUGUCACACUCACUGAGUUUUUGCCAAUUGAGUUUUUCUCGAGUGAAUCUGAAGUUGAGGAAGAAAUCAUUCAAUGCAACAUGGUUUCUUUGGAGGAAUAUGAGGUCGACACAGAAGUUGAUGAGAUUAAUCUCCGCUCCGGUCGAAGCAUCCCAUCUGCUGAUAAAGCACAACAAAAUGAGGAAGCUGAUCCCUCUAAAACCGAGAAGAAGCCAAAGGCGAAAGAGAUUAAGGUCUUCUUGUCAGGAAAAACUGUUGCAGGGGAAGUUCCACCUUCCUCUCCAAAAGCAAAGGAUUCUAAGCCCGAUACUAGUAAAGCAAAGGAGCCAUCACAAUCACAUAUAGUUAAGUAUGAUAUUCUAGCUCAUCUUAAGCGCAUCCCCGCUCCUCUAAGUGUCUACGACGCUUUACAAAUGUCGAGGGAACUUAGGGAGGCACUUGUAAUGGCUUUAAUGAACCCAGAUUUGUAUAAGUCAUGUUUCAAAUCAGCAGAUGUCCACACAACUGAAACAUCGAAGUUUUGUGCAUCAUGUCUGGCAGCAAUUACCUUUGGUGAAGAUGACUUUUUACUGGGGUCCAAAUUCCAUAAUCGACCUCUGUAUGUCACUGGCGAAGUUGGAGGCACAACCAUUAAUCGAAUCUUGUUAGAUUGUGGUUCGGCCGUGAAUAUUAUCCCAUUAAAGACGCUCCAUGCUAUAGGGAUGAGUGCCCGACAGCUGUCUCCCUCUAUGCUGACUAUUCAAGGGUUCAAUCAACUUGGGCAAAAGGCCAUGGGCUCUAUCGCAUUGCAAAUGGAAAUAGGAGACUUAUAUUCAGACGCCCUAUUCCAUGUGAUCGAGGCUGAUACUUCAUACAACGUCCUGCUAGGACGUCCAUGGCUCCAUACAUAUGGCGUAGUCCCUUCUACACUUCACCAGUGCUUUAAAUACUUGGUGGAUGGGGAAGUCAAGAGUGUUUCAGCUGACAUGGACCCAUUCAAAGGGGAAGAGGUAAAUUACUCUGAUGCGAAGUUUUACAACCCACUUGGUCUCUCAUUUACACAGCCAUCAAAGGUUGAUAAGGAGAAAAGGGCGACUGUUGAAACAGGAAAAGCCCAAAAUGUAGAAGUAUCCAAACCUUCAAAAGUAAUCCGAGUGAAGCUAAAACCUCGUGGUGCGUCAUCCUCAAAAGUGGGAGAAGUCCCGACUGCAAAGGCUCCCAAGCCAAAGAUAAUUGUCAAGACUUCAAAAAAGGAGCCUAGUGAAAAGGAAACAAGCUCAUUGAAACAAACAAUGGAGUCACUGACGACAGCAAGUUACACUCGUCCUCUUCGUAAGAUCAAUCAGUCUAUCCCAGGGGGCAGUUUGGUCAUUUCGACUACUUUUGGCAAAAACGAUGGCCCAAGUAAACGUGUAGUUUUUCACAAAAAGGCAUCAUUGUCAGAAACAACAUCUGCUCCAUUAAAGAUAGAACUUAAAGGCAGAAAAGCAAAGAAAAGCAAUGCUGGCCUCACAGUUCAAAAUGAGAGUGGCGGACUCAAAGUGUCUCUUCGAAGGCCAUAUCUGGAAGCCUCCGAGCCUGAGAUACUCACUAAUAUGGAACAAGCUAUGUUUAGGGAAGAUGAGGUGAAUAUAAAGCCGAUUCGCAUCUCCGUGUUCAAACGCUUAGGGGGCAGACAACCACCCCGCAUCUCAGUCUUUCAACGCUUGGAGAACCCUUCCAGUUCUCAACAAGGGAAGGUCCAUAAUAAAAGGAAAUGGAAAGUUAAGAGUCAAGAGAAAGCUGUGAGCGAAACGAUCAAAAGGGUGAAAAUAAAGGAUGACCUUGUCCAGGUCAAUUGCACCUCUUGUGAAGAAACAGUGGACCAAGAUGAUAGUCCUCAAGAUAUUGAGGAAUUCAUCGACAUAGUCCAACCAGCUCCACCACAAAUGGAGGAGGGAGGUCAAGCCACAAUUGAUGAUCUGCAAGAAAUUAAUCUCGGUACGGUUGACAACCCAAAGCCUAUCUUUGUCAGUGCUUUGUUAACACCGCAAGAGUUAGAAGAAUACACACAACUGUUGCAAGAGUACCGAGAUGUAUUUGCAUGGGGUUAUCAAGACAUGCCAGGUUUAGACCCAAACGUUGCAGUUCACAAACUUGGGAUACCUGAUGAGGCUCGAUGGGUGAAGCAAGCGCCACGCCGUUUUCGGCCAGAGCUAACAAUCCAAAUAGAAAUCGAGAUUGACAAGCUUAUUGCCGCGGGUUUUAUCAGAGAGGUCCAAUAUCCCACCUGGUUGUCCAAUAUCGUCCCAGUCCUCAAAAAAACUGGGGCACUACGUAUAUGUGUGGACUAUAGAGACGUCAAUGAUGCAUGCCCAAAAGAUGAGUUUCCACUCCCAAUUACAGAAUUAUUGGUAGACGCAACAACCGGUUUCGGUGCUCUAUCAUUUAUGGAUGGAUUCUCAGGUUACAACCAAAUAAAAAUGGCUCCAGAGGAUCAAGAGAAAACUGCCUUCCGCACUCCAAAAGGAAUAUAUUGCUACACUGUGAUGCCUUUUGGGUUGAAAAAUGCAGGGGCGACUUACCAAAGAGCCAUGACGGUAAUUUUCAAUGACAUGCUUCACAAUACCAUUGAAUGCUACGUUGAUGAUUUGGUUGUCAAAACCAGAAAAAGAGAACAUCAUUUGAGGGACUUAAAACGAGUUUUUGAUAGACUCCGAAAGCACCAGUUGAAAAUGAACCCCUUAAAAUGUGCAUUUGGGGUAAGUUCUGGUAGAUUCCUUGGCUUUAUCGUCCGACAUCGUGGAAUUGAAAUUGAUCCCUCAAAAAUCAAGGCAAUCCGUGAGAUGCCUCCCCCUCGAAAUUUAAGGGAGCUGCGGGGGCUGCAAGGAAGACUAGCUUACAUACGACGAUUCAUCUCAAAUCUCUCUGGAAGGUGUCAACCAUUCUCAAGGCUAAUGAAGAAGAAUGUUCCGUUUAUAUGGGAUCAAGCAUGCCAAAAUGCUUUGGAAAGCAUUAAACAAUACCUGUUAAAUCCGCCAGUUCUAAUGGCGCCAAUCAAAGGGAAGCCUUUAAUCCUAUACAUUGCGGCAUUAGAACGCUCAUUAGGUGCAUUGCUCGCCCAACACAACGAGGAUGGAAAGGAAAAUGCGUUAUAUUACUUGAGUAGAACUCUCGUAGGGGCAGAACAAAAUUACACCCCGAUCGAAAAGGUCUGCCUCGCUUUGGUGUUCGCUGUACAGAAACUACGACACUACAUCCUCUCUCAUAGAGUCAUUUUGAUUUCCAAGGCAGAUCCACUCCGAUAUUUAAUGUCCAAGCCUGUGCUCUCUGGGCGAAUAGCCAAGUGGUCUCUCCUCCUCUCCGAGUUCGAGAUAAAGUUUGUGCCACAAAGGGCAAUCAAAGGGCAGGCUCUUGCUGAUUUCUUGGCUGCUCAUCCUACUCCUGACAACAUGGAGUUAUCUAAUGAUUUGCCCGACGAAGAGGUGUUCACUACAGAAGCACUUAUAUGGCAGUUAUAUUUUGAUGGGGCAGCAAGAGGAAAAGGAGCUGGGGCAGGAGUAGUAUUCAUCACGCCGUCUGGGGGCUUAAUCCCAUACUCAUUCUCUUUUCUAGCUUUAUGUUCAAAUAAUGUGGCAGAAUACGAGGCACUCAUCAUUGGCCUUGAAAUUGCUCUCGAGAUGCAUAUUGAUUAUUUGCAAGCAUACGGUGAUUCACAGUUAGUCGUUAGACAGUUGAAUGGCCAAUACGCAGUCAGGAAUACUACUCUCGUCCCAUACCAUGAAAGGGCAAAGUAUCUCAUGUCGCAGUUCCAAGACAUCCAUGUUAGUCACAUCCCGAGGUCGGAAAAUGAUAAAGCUGAUGCACUAGCUAAUUUGGCUGCAUCGUUAACACUACCUGACGAAAGGGAUAUCCAAAUCACUGUUGGGGAACGUCACUUACUACUCCCAGCUAUAGAGAGAAUUGAGGAAGUUGUUGAUUCAAACGUCAUUACGGCUUCCGAAUGUGAGGGGGAACCAGAUGAUCUUGAUUGGCGCCAUCCCAUAAUCGAGUAUCUCCAACAAGGCAAGUUGCCAAAUGACUCAAGGAAAAAGGCUGAAGUCCGACGCAGAGCCACUCGAUUUCUGUACCUAAAUGACACCUUGUACAAAAGAUCAUUUGAUGGUAUGUUGUUAAGGUGUCUGUCGAAACAAGACUCAACUAAGGCCCUUCAUGAUACUCAUGCUGGCACUUGCGGUGCUCAUCAAGCUGGUCCAAAACUCUCAAACCAACUGAAGAGAUUGGGUUAUUACUGGCCAACAAUGGUCCAAGACUCAAUGAAAUUUGCAACCACAUGCAAAGAUUGCCAGUUACAUGGAGACUUUAUUCACCAGCCACCCCAACAAUUACAUCCGACUACUUUGUCUUGGCCAUUUGAAGCUUGGGGAUUAGAUGUUAUUGGCAUGAUAAAGCCUAAGUCAUCACGUCAACAUCAGUACAUCUUGGCCGCGACCGAUUACUUCUCUAAAUGGGCUGAAGCGAUUCCUUUAAAGGAGGUACGAGCAGACGAUGUUACAAACUUCAUAAGAAAUCAUAUCAUCUACCGUUAUGGGGUUCCAUCGAAGAUAAUAUCCGACAAUGCAUUAUAUUUCAAGUGCAAGUCCAUGACCAAGUUGUGCGAGAAGUAUAGAUUUCAACACUCGUUUUCCGCGAAUUACAAUCCGUCGUCAAACGGUCAAGCUGAAGCUUUCAAUAAGGUACUGUGCAACAUCCUAAAGAAGGCGGUCUCAGGAAAUAAAAGAGACUGGCAUGAGCGCCUCCCUGAAGCAUUAUGGGCUUAUAGGACGACCAUACGCAAUUCAACAGGAUGUACACCCUACAAUUUAGUGUUUGGCUCCGAGGCUGUUCUACCGUUAGAAGUCCAAUUGCCAUCGUUAAGGGUAGCUCUACAGCUGACAAACCCCGACGAAAACGCAUAUGUGAGACUGGCAGAGCUGGAAGCCCUCGAUGAGAAAAGACUAGCAGCUCAACAAAAGCUCGAAAUAUAUCAAGCUCAGGUUGCAGGGGCAUUCAACAGAAAAGUUAAGUUCAGAUCUUUCUCAAUUGGAGAUUUGGUUUUAACUGUCCGAAGACCAUUUGUCAUUACCAGGAAAAUGCACGGUAAGUUUGAACCCAAGUGGGAGGGGCCCUACGUCAUUACCAAGGUUUUCUCUAGGGGUGCCUAUGAGUUGUCAAACGCCGAAGGCAAGUGCGUAUACCCUUGUGUGAAUGGGAAAUUCGUCAAGAAGUUUUAUGCCUGAUGGUGAGAAAAAAAGCUCGUUGGACUGAAAACCCAAAAGGGCGGUCCAAGCAAAAGUUAGAGCUUAAAAAAAAAAAAAAAAAAAAAAAAAAAAAAAACCUUCGUGGGCUGAAAACCCGAGAGGGCAGUCCAAGGAAAGGAACUACGGCGGCUUGAUCCCUCAAAAGGGGUACGUAGGCAGUCUAGUCUUGCCACUAGAUGCGGCCACAAAAUCCAUUCGUCCCUUUCUUCCCCUGAGAAUCAAAGGGUGAACUACGUAUGGCUUGAUCCCUUUAUAGGGUACGUAGGCAACUUAGCUUUAAAAAAAAAAAAAAAAAAAAAGCUGAGUGCAGUCGUAAAUCACCAAAAUCCCCAUCUCACCAUUGCCAUGAUGAAAGGUGUUGCACAAGGGCCCCCAUAAUUCACAAAAUGCUCUCCAUAUAUUUGCGCAACACUCGUAAGGAUAUCGGGAAAUUGCUAUGGCACCAUAUAAUUUUUGCCUUAUGCAAUAUGUCUCCAUCCACUUCAUUAUUCACAUCCGCCAAACAAUGUGCUGUAAACACAGCACGAUGCGUUUGGCAUACUGAAAUCACCUUAUCUUCUGCAUACCCAGAAUUUACAGAGGCGGUGGUAUACCGGGUUGCAUGGCCUUCAGGGGGUACAUUAAGCUGCACAGAUCUCAGAGGCAGUGAUCUCGCAUAUUGGGGGCCAGAGACAAAUUUCCUACCAUGCGAAUCAAAGACUCGCUCAAAACCGAAUCAACCUUGCACGUCCAUUUCCUGAGUGGUUUCAACAAAAAUUAAUUAAUUAAUUAAUACAAGAAAAGUCAGGGGAUUCGCAGUUCAAAGGGAAAGCUAUCAAGCGUUGCACAUAAAAAGUCAUUUUAUGCACAACGCUUGAGAAGGCAUCUGUUGAACGGAAAAUUUUCACAAAAGCAUUUAGCCAAGAAUUUGACUUGGUUUAGAAUUGAAUUUGUUUUGUCCCUGCAACCUUAUCAAGAAAAAAAAUAUAAAAAUAAAAUAGAUGUAUUUCGGUGGUUUUGAAACACCAAGAGAUAAGUAUCUCAGUUAAGAAGUGGUCAUAGGCUUGAAUUCAAACUCAUCAUAAGAUAGCCUCUAUAAGAGGCAUGACACGAAGAAAAAAACGGGGGACGGAAAGGAAGGCAGAGAAGAGAACGGUGGGAGGAGAGAAAAAGAAAAAGGAAGGCAGAGAAGAGCCAUUUCAAGGUAAAAAUACUAGUUUCAUGGCACAAUUUUCUGAUCUUUGCUCAAGAUUUCAGGUUCUGUUCAACUCAAGAGUUCCUGCCCAUGAUGAUUUCUAUCAUCAUAAAAAGGGUCAGUAAUCUCUCCAAGGAUCAAACACCUCCAGGACAUCCAGCUAUGGAUUGACAGUCAAGAUGAUUGUAGUCAUCAUGAGGUCAAGUCCUGAUAUGCUCCGAGGUGCAGCUCCGCUCUGACGCUUCCAGGAUGUGCUCAACAUCCAACUCACAAGCACUCUGUAAGGAUGGCUUAUCAUGAUGGGCUAACCAUCACAAAACCAAAUCUGGUGGCUUUGCAAGGAAAGCACGAACUGAGGUUUUGACAUGGGUUGUGCCGCAGAGAGAUAGCAGACAGAGAAAAGGAAGAAAAAGUUAACGAAGGCAUUCACUCAAAUACCCAGUCAUGGUACCGACUGCCUUUUGUCCUCCAAUGACAACAAGACAAGUUAAUUGUCUUUUAAAUGAAAGCUGCAUACAUAUCUGCAGUGGGAAAAAAUUUUAUCUGCUGUUUGCA